GCGGAGGAAAAGAAACCAACAGGGAUUGCCUCAGUAACGGCGAGUGAAGCGGCAACAGCUCAAAUUUGAAAUCUGGCGCAAGCCCGAGUUGUAAUUUGUAGAGGAUGCUUCAGGGCAGCGGCCGGUCUAAGUUCCUUGGAACAGGACGUCAUAGAGGGUGAGAAUCCCGUAUGCGACCGGUUGGCACCCGUCACGUAGCUCCUUCGACGAGUCGAGUUGUUUGGGAAUGCAGCUCUAAAUGGGUGGUAAAUUCCAUCUAAAGCUAAAUAUUGGCCAGAGACCGAUAGCGCACAAGUAGAGUGAUCGAAAGAUGAAAAGCACUUUGGAAAGAGAGUUAAAAAGCACGUGAAAUUGUUGAAAGGGAAGCGCAUGCAACCAGACUUGUCGGCGGUGUUCCGCCGGUCUUCUGACCGGUCUAUUCGCCGCCGGCAGGCCAGCAUCAUCUGGGUGCGCCGGAUAAAGGCGCGGGGAAUGUAGCUCCUCGGAGUGUUAUAGCCCCGCGCACAAUACGGCGCCGCCCGGGUGAGGUCCGCGCUUCGGCUAGGAUGCUGGCGUAAUGGUUGUAUGCGGCCCGUCUUGAAACACGGACCAAGGAGUCUAACAUCUAUGCGAGUGUUCGGGUGUCAAACCCCUACGCGGAAUGAAAGUGAACGGAGGUGGGAAGCGCAAGCUGCACCAUCGACCGAUCCUGAUGUCUUCGGAUGGAUUUGAGUAAGAGCAUAGCUGUUGGGACCCGAAAGAUGGUGAACUAUGCCUGAAUAGGGUGAAGCCAGAGGAAACUCUGGUGGAGGCUCGCAGCGGUUCUGACGUGCAAAUCGAUCGUCAAAUUUGGGUAUAGGGGCGAAAGACUAAUCGAACCAUCUAGUAGCUGGUUCCUG
rnacentral:rRNA from 1 species